rnacentral:rRNA from 13 species
AGUAACGGCCAUAUCAGCUUGAAAGCACCGCAACCCGUCAGAUCUGCGAAGUUAAGCAAGCUAGAGCUAGGUUAGUACUAUGGUGGGGGACCACAUGGGAAUACUUAGUGUCGUUAUUU